UGGGGAAUUUUGGACAAUGGGCGAAAGCCUGAUCCAGCAAUGCCGCGUGUGUGAAGAAGGCCUUCGGGUGCUAAGCACUUUUGUCCGGAAAGAAAUCCUUGGCUCUAAUACAGUCGGGGGAUGACGGUACCGGAAGAAUAAGCACCGGCUAACUACGUGCCAGCAGCCGCGGUAAUACGUAGGGUGCAAGCGUUAAUCGGAAUUACUGGGCGUAAAGCGUGCGCAGGCGGUUUGCUAAGACCGAUGUGAAAUCCCCGGGCUCAACCUGGGAACUGCAUUGGUGACUGGCAGGCUAGAGUAUGGCAGAGGGGGGUAGAAUUCCACGUGUAGCAGUGAAAUGCGUAGAGAUGUGGAGGAAUACCGAUGGCGAAGGCAGCCCCCUGGGCCAAUACUGACGCUCAUGCACGAAAGCGUGGGGAGCAAACAGGAUUAGAUACCCUGGUAGUCCACGCCCU
rnacentral:rRNA from 1 species